rnacentral:lncRNA from 1 species
AUUUAUACCAUGUACACCAAUUACUUAAAUAAUAAGAGCAUGUUUGGACUUCCAGUUUCUGGUGAUGGCUGGUUAUGAAAACUUGAAGAAACAAAAUAAUGGCUUUUUUUAAGUGAAGAACUAAAAAAACAUUGAACUUCCAGGCCAGUUUUUGGAUAAAAGUCUAUAACCAGGGAGGGAAAUGGAAUACUGGAACAAAAAGCUGCCUGUGCUGAGACAGCAGUUGCUGAUACCACAAACACUUGUCUGCUGUUUCUGUGGCCUGGCUGAGCCAAGAAAACAUGUUAAAGCACAGAGCCCACGCAAGACAGUGUGCUUGCAGGAGACCCUACCAACAGGAAUCGGAUAACAAGGAGCUAAAGGGGUGAUAAUGAGAAGCAAUGGACUAGAGGAUUCAAGUGGAAGAGUCUUCAUCACCCGUGAGUUCUCCUGGGAAAGUGAAUUGGAAACAAGCUAAGUGCAUUUUCUCAGCAGAAGGAAGAUCUUACACAUCACCUAGUGAAUAUCCAGUUGGGAAUCUGAAAGCAGCAGUGGGCAGGCAGGGGAAUCAGGAGCAAUGUUCAUCAGUGAAUGAAAGGAGUGCUGGAAAGAGAACCAAAUGCUGACAUCAAAGAACCUUCAAUCAUAUGAUUUUAGUGUGGAAAGCCAGAUGAUACACUCUAACAUCUGUGAAAUCAAAUCAAAAUGCAAAUUGGUUUUUGGCUUUCCUG